UACUAUGAGUGACCAAAUCCUUACAUAUGCCCAGCGAGAGGGAAAACUGCCCUUGGUGUUUGAUGACAUGACACCAGACCGAGCUUUGAAAGUCCUGCCGAUUCUGCUUCCUCCAUCGGUCUACAGGAUUGGAGGAAAAGUCCACAGACCCACCAUAGAGGAGUCCCGCAAGUCCUUCAUUAAUAUCCAACCAGUGGGCACCAACAUGGUACAGUACCUACAGACAGCAGAGAGAACUCAACCCUUCCCGCACAUCUUGUGUCUUGGUGAUGACAUGAC